AGAGAGAGAGAGAGGAAUUGGUGGACACUAUGGUAUGGUAGAGACCAUGCAAAGCUUUUUUCGUUUCUCUCUAGUCUCUCUCCCAUGGCAGGAUUUUUGAAAAGUUGAAAGGCCUUCUUGAUGGAAAAGAAAAGUUCACCUUUUCAAUACCCACACAACGCAUACUCUGCAAAAAGAUUCAGCUUAGAAUAAUAAACCAUCCUCGAAGGGAAUGUUUGGUCUAUGAUAUGCUCAAAUUAUAAAAUUCAAUUUUGUUUGAAAAAAAAAAGUUGGAAAGGGUAGGUGGAAAGAGACCCAGCUUCAGCUCCACCUCCCUGGCUGUCGGGUGGCAGUAGUGGGUGAUCUCCACGUCAUGGAGCAUUUUCAUUUUUGUACUCUCUCCACUUCACAGCUCAGGGCCUUAGGCCGUUGGUUCCUCCUAAUUUCUCAAUCAGAAGAAAUAGAGAACAACAUGAUCAGGACAUUAAAGCCUAUUAGCCUAUUAUACUAUAUUCUAAUCCCAAUCUCAGAAUAUAAGUAAUCAUCUCAAAUAAAGAAACAACCACCAGUCAUUCCAGACUUCAGAUUGAGCAUCAUUUCGUGCCUUUGGAGAGGGACUGGGGUUGUUAUCCAGGUCAUUGCCUCUGCAUCUAUAAAUUCACAUCUUGAAUCAGUUCCAAAAUACAAACCCACAGAACAAACAUUGUUGGAGGUGCUAAUGGGUGGGAUAGGGACCUGAUGAUGAUUUCCUCUGUUACUCUCUCUUGAUCUUGUCAUGGCUUCAUCUGCUGGUUUGUGGGAAACGAGGAAUUGGGUUAACAUGGGUUUGUGGUGUAUUCCAUCUCUUGCACACUGGACAAGAGCUUAAUAGAGCCUUCAUGCUGGUGUGCAAUGGAUGGAAUACAUCAUCAAUUCAUGCAUCACUGGGAGUGAAAAGGCAUAUUUCCUUCUACUAUGGUUACAGCUGGGCAUGAAUAGAUGUGCUUCUCAUGUCUCCCAACAGUUCUCGGAUCUUAAUUUCAUCCUCUAUAAGAGCGAGAUUCCGGCAGAGCUCCCCACAAGCUACAGAGUCCUUAAAUUGUUGAAUGAAUGCUUUUCUUUUGUGGGUAGCAGGUGUGUGAGAAUGUAAUAACAAAUAAGAUUAAGAUUCCAUUCACCAUUGUUACACUACUCUCCUCACAUAUGAGAAUACUUUGUUACUUGCAUAGGGACAUAAUAACCAUCAAAAUAUGGAAUAAGGGAUUUUUUCAAGUUCAAGGGCGUAUUGGUCAUUACAUAAUAAACCCACAAAGGGGUCAAGUUCAGACUUCAGACCCACGGAGGAGUCAAUAGGGGUUCAAGGUCGCACUUUUUGGAAAGCGAGGAAAUUAGUACAAACCGAGCAUCGAUGCACUUGAGAGGAAUUGAUCAAGCGACUAAUCUUUUGAGAGGUACUCCACUAAGAGCACCGCAAUUGGCCAAGGCCCAGGGGUGCCCCACGAUGUCAAAGUGUUAGUAAGAAGGCACCAUACCAAUUAUAGUAAUGAAGUCUUAUUUUAAAUAAAGCUAAGAGAAAACCAAGCUCUCCUAGAGAUAGCUGUCGACCAAGAAACAGUUGAUUCUUUUUUUUUUUUUUGGUAUUGAUCCCCUUCCAAAAGGCAAAGUUAAUGGAAUCAAGUCGAUUAUAAAUCUUAAAUGAAAUUUCACUCCCCCGUACUUAGUUGAAAUAUCAUGUUCCCCUUAAGCAAUAUGAAAAAUAUUACUUUCCUCUCCCUAAUCUGAAAGAUUCUAUUAAGAGUCCCCUUCCGUGAGAUAUAGCUAUUUAGUGAUGACUUUAUGUUUCGUAAUAUCUGAACUACCCUCACACUGUGUAAUACCGAUUCUAACCUCUUAAGAAGACUAAAUUGAAGGAGAGGAGUUCAAAGCACGAUUUCUUUGCAACUCAUCCUCUUCAUUCUGAAACCCUAGAACAUCCAAUGGUGCUGCCCAACGAUUGAUUGAAGCCAAGAUUUGUGUUGAAGCUCUUCCAACCUGAACGCAACCGAAACCUCUCAGAUCCUCUCCCUUCAGAUUCAUUGAGAAAUUGCAGCAAGACAGACAUACAUGGAAAGGGGGUGAAGGAACAACUGGAAGCCCUGUGUAAUAUUUAUGCCCUCUCACUGCUUCACAGGCACCAGGGGGAUUUCAUUAUAACUGGGUGCAUCAGCCCCAAGCAAGCAUCUUUUAGAAAUGGGUAGCUUAGAUAUUUGUACCAUACCAAUUCCAGCUAUGUACCAUAUCUAUUGUACACGCUGGUACUACUGAUGCUGUCUUAACAAGCACUAUUGGUUAAACUAACAAACCUGCCUUAUCUUUUGAUAGGUUCAUCCAAAUGGCAUUGCAUCGGUUGAUGCAUUUAACUAGACCGACCAUUAUCUUGGCUCUGUUCUUGGAUGUCAUGAUGGAAAUGUGUAUCCUAAACUCUACAAGGAAGCUUGGAAAGAACCACUCAAUGACUCUGUUGUUCUAGAUGGGUACCAUUAGUACAUUAGGCCCCUGCUGAAGCAACAACUCUAAAUAGCAAGAUUGUGAUUCACAAAUUAUAUUCUUUAUGGUAUUAGUUGCAUAAUCACUACUGCAAAUAAGAGCUUUAGAAGCAACCCCACACCCCAAACCAGUGUCAUUUUGUUGGACUUGAAGUGCAGUGAACUUGCAACAAACAAA